AUUGGGCAAUGGUGCAGGUUCCCCCACGAAAUUUUGCAAGGAAAAUUGCUGGUGGUACUCCAUACUCAAAGCAGUUAAGGGAGCCAUUGCCAAGGAAGCAAUCCAAGCAGGUGAGUACGACGCCACUAUCGUCCAACUAAAAACCACAGUCUGGGAAUGUUGGGCACUCUGAUGAAGCCCGUGAGAUCAGGCCAGAGAUGGAGUUUGAUGAAUCUGAAGAAUUGACUUCCUUCUUUCGUGUAAAAUGGACCACUUUGCUUCCUCCAACAUAAAUACCUGAACACGCAAUUGGUGGCAACUGGAUAAGAAAGUGGCUAACACUAGAAAAUUUCUCCAUAAGCAAUAUCCAGUAAAAUAG
rnacentral:lncRNA from 1 species